rnacentral:lncRNA from 1 species
CGAAAUCUUGGUGAUGGCUUGAGCAUUCGGUUUUAGUUAUUAAAGGAUGAGAUUGGGUUAUAAUCUUUAUGUUUUAUGAAGAAUUGUUGAAGAGAAGGGUUUAAGUAGUCAAAUUUUAAAUUUUAAUGCUCAUGAGUACAAUGGCCAAACAUAGAUUUGUCUAAAGAAUUGAACAAAUGUCGUGUGAGUGAUUGAAAUGAAUGAGUUGGAGGUUGGAUCAUGUUAAGAUUCGGCCUUGUACAUAAACAUUAAGAGUUUGAUGUUUUUGUGAUUUUUGGAAGGUAAAUAAGGUUAUACACAAGAUGAAUACUAAGAUUUUGGUUGACUUGUUUUUAGUGAGGUUCGGCCAAGGACCUUAUGUGCAAGUUUAUUCGGUUUAAGUAGAGUAAACGUGACGGGUAGAUAUGGAGUAAUGUGUAUAUUGGUUCGGCUGCUAAGCAAGGAAAUAAUUGUUGGUAACAUAGUAUCUAUGCAC